ensembl:miRNA
GCAGAAAUGCAGUAUCCAUUUCUAACCUCCCAAAUAUAUAUAUAUAUGUACGUAUGUGUAUAUAAAUGUAUACGUAGAUAUAUAUGUAUUUUUGGUGGGUUUAAUUUU